rnacentral:rRNA from 1 species
UACGAAGGGGGCUAGCGUUGCUCGGAAUCACUGGGCGUAAAGCGCACGUAGGCGGAUCUUUAAGUCAGGGGUGAAAUCCCGGAGCUCAACUCCGGAACUGCCUUUGAUACUGGAGAUCUUGAGUCCGGGAGAGGUGAGUGGAACUGCGAGUGUAGAGGUGAAAUUCGUAGAUAUUCGCAAGAACACCAGUGGCGAAGGCGGCUCACUGGCCCGGUACUGACGCUGAGGCGCGACAGCGUGGGGAGCAAACAGG